AGUCUUUGAACGCAAGUUGCGCCCGAAAGCCAUUCGUGGUUCGAGGGCACGUUUGCCUGGGUGUCACACACGGCGUUGCCCCAAAUCCCUUGCCCAAUUCCCGGGCAGGCAGGACUCGGGAGCGUAUGUUGGCCUCCCGCGACGGCUUAGUCCCGGUUGGCCUAAAAUCGAGCGCUGGAGCGAUUAGCACCACGACAUUCGGUGGUUUGACGAAGACCCCAACGAUCAAUGUCGUGCGUGUCGCUCGUGCGAGCGCUCAGCGAAUCUACUAUUUACCAACGCGACCCCAGGUCAAGCGGGGCUACCCGCUGAGUUUAAGCAUAUCAAUAAGCGGAGGAAAAGAAACUAACAAGGAUUCCCCUAGUAACGGCGAGCGAACCGGGAAGAGCCC
rnacentral:rRNA from 1 species